UACGUAGGAGGCAAGCGUUGUCCGGAAUUACUGGGCGUAAAGCGCGUGUAGGUGGUGGGACAAGUCUGCUGUGAAAGCGCCUGGCUUAACCGGGCGAGGUCGGCGGAAACUGUCCGACUCGAGGACGGUAGAGGGGGGUGGAAUUCCCGGUGUAGUGGUGAAAUGCGUAGAGAUCGGGAGGAACACCUGUGGCGAAGGCGGCCCCCUGGGCCGGCCCUGACACUGAGACGCGAAGGCGUGGGGAGCGAACGGG
rnacentral:rRNA from 2 species